rnacentral:misc_RNA from 1 species
GAUGAAGAACGCAGCGAAAUGCGAUAAGUAAUGUGAAUUGCAGAAUUCAGUGAAUCAUCGAAUCUUUGAACGCACAUUGCGCCCCCUGGUAUUCCGGGGGGCAUGCCUGUUCGAGCGUCAUUUCACCACUCAAGCCUCGCUUGGUAUUGGGCAACGCGGUCCGCCGCGUGCCUCAAAUCGACCGGGCUGGGUCUUCUGUCCCCUGAGCGUUGUGGAAACUAUUCGCUAAAGGGUGUUCGGGAGGCUACGCCGUAAAACAACCCCAUUUCUAAGGUUGACCUCGGAUCAGGUAGGGAUACCCGCUGAACUUAAGCAUAUCAAUAAGCGGAGGA